UUCUACACACAUUUUAUCUUUUGUCCUUUUCAAAAGACUGCGUCAUAACGAAAUGAACUGAGCAAUAUGUUAUUUGUCUAUGCAUUUUGCUGGCUGUCUUCAACGACCGACCUGCAGAUAUCAUGCAAGAAGCCUCAGUUGUUGGAUGGUAAAGGUCUACGCCCCCGAAUCAACAAAGAAGCAAACUAACAGAUGUGGAUGUUUCAGUUUUCACGCCCUUAUAAAGCCGAUCCAUACUUAAGUCUGCCCAGAAGACAUAAAGGGCCUCCAUUGGUGAUGAAAGACUCAAACCCUUCACCUCUCUGCGGUUAAUAAAGAAGUAUGCCGAGCGGUGUAAACUGGUCAAGUAACAAACCUCUCCCGUACCGUUUCCGUCCAGCCAGGAGACAAG